rnacentral:ncRNA from 1 species
GCUAGGGGAGCAAAAGCUGAGAGACCACCUGCCGAAGGCGGUAUACCCUCAAAACCUGACCCGGAUAAUGCCGGCGUAGGAAAGCGAAC